rnacentral:pre_miRNA from 1 species
UUUAAAUACAUUCAUGAGUUUGUGUCUGACUUUGAUUGUCCGUCAUUUUUUUAUGAUUAGUAUUUUUUUUUCUUUUUAGAUGAUAAAACUUUAUGAGUGAUUUAUGUUUUUAUUUUUUUUAAAUAAGACGAAUGAUUAAGGUUGGAUAUGGAAACUCAUGACUACACUUAAA